rnacentral:rRNA from 1 species
CGGAGGGGGCAAGCGUUGUUCGGAUUUACUGGGCGUAAAGGGUGUGUAGGCGGCUGGAUGAGUCUGGCGUGAAAUCUUCACCGCUUAACGGGAAGGGGUCGCUGGAAACUGUUCAGCUUGAGUAUGGUAGAGGCAAGCGGAAUUCCUGGUGUAGCGGUGGAAUGUGUAGAUAUCAGGAAGAACACCGGUGGCGAAGGCGGCUUGCUGGGCCAUCACUGACGCUGAGACACGAAAGCGUGGGGAGCAAACGGGAUUAGAUACCCCGGUAGUCCACGCUGUAAACGGUGCGCACUAGGUGUGGGGGGUAUCGACUCCUCCCGUGCCGACGUUAACACAUUAAGUGCGCCGCCUGGGGAGUACGGCCGCAAGGUUG